AGGCCAGUUGAUUCUCAGAAUUCAUAGCAUUACCUUGCUGACUGGGCAGUGCUCCAGGACACCUGUGAUGACUUAACUGCCAAGGAGGCUGAAGUAGAAGGAUCACUUGAGUCCAGGAGGUUGAAGCUGCAGUGAGCCAAGAUCACACCACUGCACUCAAGCCAGCGCAACAGAAUGAGACCCUGUCUCAAAAACAACAAAGACAAAUGGAAAAGAGCAUCCAGUGGCCAAAGCAGGAACAAUUUAAGUAACAGAAUCAAUAAAAUAUUGGAUUAUGACCCAAA